GACGAACGCUGGCGGCGUGCUUAACACAUGCAAGUCGAACGGAAAGGCCCUGCUUUUGUGUGGUGCUCGAGUGGCGAACGGGUGAGUAACACGUGAGUAACCUGCCCUUGACUUUGGGAUAACUUCAGGCAACUGGGGCUACUACCGGCUAGGAGCUCCUGCUGCAUGGUGGGGGUUGGACAGUUUCGGCGGUGGGGGAUAGACUCGCGGGUUACCAGCUUGUUGGUUGGGUAGUUGCUUACCCAGUGUUUGACGGGUAGCCGGCACGAGAGGGUGGACGGCGACAUGAGGACUGAGAUACGCCCCAGACGCGUACGGGAGGCAGCAGGCGGGAGUAUGGCACAAUGGGCGGGAGCGUGAGGCAGAGGCGCCGCGUGCGGGAUGACGGCCUUCGGGUGGUAAACCGCUUUCACCUGAGACGAAGCGGGAGUGACGGUAAUGGGUAAAGAAGCACCGGCUAACUACGUG
rnacentral:rRNA from 1 species